UUUUAGAUUUACUUAGCUUUAAUAAAAGAAGGUUAGCUUUAAAUUGUUAUUUAUAUAUAAAUUUUAGUGCAAUUUUGCCUCUAAAUGAUUAAUUGUAUUAUGUAGUUUUUAAUUUUAGUUUUUAAAGGAAUUUAGAACUAGAUAAAUUUAUUAGGAGUGCAAAAAGUUGUGCCAGCAUGUGCGGUUAUACUUCUAGUUCAAGUUAACUUUAUUGAUUAUUAGAUUUUUAAUGUUAAUUUUUAAUUUAAAUUUAAAAAAUUAAGGUGAAAUUUAUUUUUUAAUUAAAUUUUGGUUUAAUUUAUAAUUUUAAAAUCAAUUUUUAAACUAGGAUUAGAUACCCUAUUAUUUUGAUUGUAAUAUUAUAUCAUAUUAUUAAUAGUUAUGUCUUUAAAAUAAAAAGGCUUGACGGUAAUUUAAUCUUUUUAGAGGAACCUGUCCAGUAAUUGAUAGUCCACGUUAUAUUUUACUUUAAUUUAGCUUGUAUACCUCUGUCAUAGUGAAUGUCUUAUAAGGGUAUUUUCUUUUUUAUUUUGAUAAUAAAUGUCAAGUCAAGGUGCAGCAAUAUUAAAGUUGAGAUGGGUUACAUUUUAUGUUAUAAUUGAAAACUUUUAAUUUAUAUUUAAGUGGAAAAUGGAUUUAAAAGUAAACAUUAUUUAUUUUAUAAUUUUGAUUUUAGCUCUAAAUUAUGUACAUAUCGCCCGUCACUCUCAUAAUUAAUAUGGGAUAAGUCGUAACAAAGUAAUUUUACUGGAAAGUGAGGUUAGAAUAU
rnacentral:ncRNA from 1 species